UUCAAAAUUACUUCCACAACACACACACUCCAGGUCUUAACCAUUCACAAUGAAAAAUAAAACUCUCUCAUAAUGAGUCUGGUUCUUGACUCUUCCAUUAAAAAGUAAACAGUGUAUCCAGGAUUACUCUUCCAGAGGUACCAUAGUGCUACUUAAGGCUUGAGGCAUGCUAUGAUGGUUUUUCUUCCUCCAAUAGGUACAGUUUCAACUUCGCAAAUCUAUGUAUGACUGAAGUGCCUCUUGCCAGGAACUAUACUUGUAGACCUUUUCCACAUCCUCUCCAUUGCCUAGUGUGAACACACGGUGGUGAAACAGGAAGUUUUGCUAUAGUUCCCGUAGCAGGUGCCAUUUUUCCUUUCGUAUUCUCUGUGCAAGUCUUACCGAACAUGUUUUUUCCAAAGGUGUGCUUAAAAUAAACUCCCAAAACUCCUGCUAAAACCUUAAACUUUUAUUUCUAAUGUUGUCAAGCAAAUGAAGCGAAAUUAAUUUACUGUCAUUAAUCCCGACACUGUCGGCCCUGUAGUUUUUUUUAAAAAAAACAAACUAAGAUGGGAAAUAAUUAAGAAUCAAUUGUCGUGAGUGUGGUUAAAUGACUUGGGUGUAAACAUUGCAGAGUGUUUGUUGUAUUGAAGUCCGGAUCAAUAUGCUAAUACCUUUCCCCGUCAAUCCGGUGGUAGAUUUAUCCACACUGUUUAAGAUAAUGGGUUAAUACUCAAGUCAGUCUCUGUUCCCCGUGGCAGGUAAAAGGCCUUUGAGAAUACAUGAUCCAAUGGUAGACAUUGAAAAGCAACACCUGUGUUGCUGUUUGAAAUAGACAACUCGCAAACAGAUGAACUGGCAGCAGGACGGAAAAGUAAAUUGAUCAAGGCCGCUUUUUGAUGCAUUUUUCAACCCCCAACAUUUCGCAUUGGCGAUGUGACUCAGCAGGUGGCGAAAACACAAUCAUGUUUGUAAAUCAGUUUGUAUUAACGUUGGGGGGCUGGGAGCAGAAAUAAGUCCCGUCAGCAUUACGCCGUCCUUAUUUAUACACACUUCAAUCUGAAUAGACCAAACAUCCUGAGCAAAAACAAUGGAAGUUACAUAUGGAGUGUAAAACAUGGGAGAGUAACCUACGUUUAUUCAUUCCCCCCCCAAGUAACGUCCGGACGCAGACACCGAAAAUAGCCAUUUGAUCCUACAACAGUUCUGGUGUCAUCAAACAAGGCCAAAAACAGUGAGUGUAAUAAAGGUUUCUGGCCAACACUAGAAAGUGAUCCAUUUCUCGUUUCUAUAGAACAGUCAGAGGCAAUGACUUGCAAUGCGUUGACUGCCACCGCUGAGCGGGUAUUAUUUCAGGUCAGUGCACCCUCGGCAGACCAUGGUUUCCUUACGUGCCCCCGUGCAUAUUAUCUGUUUAACGGCGGGGAUUUAAGUUAUUCUUGCAGGACUAGUCUUUGCUUUUGAAGGUCAAGGCAUGCAACACCGAACCAGCUCCCACUCCCGGCGCUCGCCACUACUCAUUGUGCGAAGGGGACUGGCAACCUGUUUGACAGCCAAACGGUUAACCCUUCUCACUGCCAAGCAAGACUGAAUGCAAAUCCACGGCAGUGAAGUGCAGAGACCCUCUGGCUACCUGUCCUCUGUCCUUGAAGGACGUGUGCCGAAUGGAAAUCGCUCCAAGCCAGAGAUCUCUCUGUGAUCCCUUAUCUGCCAUUGCAAUCAUAGUAGAUGCAUACUUAAAUGUCUACUGCUCGUAAUAUAAAGUGAUAGCGUUCACUGGGUCGGGCUCAUUGUUUCUAAUUCUGUCCACUGUCAAUCUUGUGUUCGCAAAUGGAGACAGUGCUUCCUCUUCCCCACCCAGGCAACAACAGAAAAUGGAGCACGGAUUCCCUGCCGAACACAUUGCACGCAAACACAUGCACCUGCAGCACAAGCAGUUCAUGGCAUACGGCGGGACCCAUGACUGAACAGAUAGGGAACAGGAGGGCGCCAGGUGUGGAAGAUGCGGUUUGAAAUCGAGCCUUGGAUUGACGCUAUUCUCCAUUUGAAAUCCUGGGACCGACUGGAACGAUGCAAACUGGCCGUAGGAAGCAGGAAGACAAUCACUAUCCGAACACCCACUUUCAAAAUACCAACUUCGUUGUACCUCUGUCUCGUUAAAAUCGUAAAAAAAGUCAAAUAAUGUCCAUCCUAAGUCUACACCACUUUAGGUUUGUGCUAUGACCUAGAUGCGAAGAAGAGAAAGGAAAAGAAAAAAAAAGUAUUGUUCCAGAAGCUGCCUCAUAUCUACUGACCUUGAAAAUGAAGAUGUGGAGGACAAUUCUAAUGUAAAAUAAUGUUAAAAGAUGGACGGGGCGAAGAGAGAUAAAUUUUGCACUUGCACAGACUGAAGCACCAAAAGAACCGAAACCAAAGAAGGAAUCUGGCAAGAAUCUAAAUGGAAAGAUGAAUUGAUGUGUGCAGGCGAUCCAAAAACUGGUUAAACUGCAGGCGUCAAAUCCAAUGGGCUCGAUUUAAAACAAGUGUAACCGCGAAAUCUCAACAAUAUAACAGACCUGCUGAACAGGACGAGCCAGAGCCACACAGCAAUAAGGUAACUGACAAAGAUUAAUGGUCAAAGUCCAUACACACAAAAGGACAUAACAGACAAAAGCAUCACAUUAACUGGUCAUUGUUUCCUUCCUGUAGAACACCAACUCAUUAUUGACGGUCGUGAUAUCUCUCUGCCUCGACGUAAAAGCCGAGUGCGUUGUGCUAGCGGCAAGUCAACCACUCCUGGGUAUGGGUUCAUUUUUUUUGUUUUCAACUUCCCGAAUUAAAAAAAAAGCUCGCGCUCCCUCUCCUUACACAACCCCAGCGAGGAGAUUCCUUCCAGCGGACAAAACAAAAAAAAACAGAAGUGUCUCUGAAACAUCUUGGCAGAACACAGCAGCCGACACGAAGCUGACUUUAAAACGCGACAGGUUGACUGAGGAAGAUAACUGCAGCCACAAAACAAGCAGCAAAACAAAACGAAAAAGCCUGUUCCAUUGUCAACCAAACACCAAACCGCUGCAACCUUUAAAGAGAAUCACUUAAUUUCCACCUCCCUACCUUUCGGAGUGUCCUUGAGCAU